UAUUUCUGCAGGGAACUGCACCUAGCAGUAUAAAUAGAAAUGGGUAAAACUAUUCAGAUGUAGUUAGAAUUUCAAUUGACUUCUCAAGUCAAACCUAUAUCAUUUAUUAGCAAAAAUGUAAAUGUCUCCAAGAUCAGCAGUGGUUUGAUGGUAGUACUUGUGAAUGUAGGUAGCUGAAUUUAAUAACAAUAUAUCUGAUAGAGCCAUUGGGGGUAUAAACAGAAUAAAGAAUGGGAUAUUCUCAGAAAAAACAGGAAUGGGAGACACAGCAGGCUGUCACGUCCACAUUUCUCUGAAACCCCAUAAAUAUGGCUCAUAUAGCAUUUAUGUGCUGAUGCUUUGCAUGUGGGGAACUUCUAUCCAGCAUUUAGCUAUGACUGAAACCAUUAAAUAGCUUUUAAGCAUUCAGAAACUAGAUUCCUGGUUGCUGGAAGUUUGAGAGCUUAAGCAAAGCUGUCUUAAGUUUUGUAUUCACAACAAAAUGUAAAACCACUAAGUUACAGACAAUACCAGUGUUUAGGGCCAGGUUUGGGACAGAAUACAUACUAAGCACUGAGAGCUCCGGGCAUGGACAAAUUUACAGAGACUGAGGAGCUAUGAAAGGAGGUGGGUACAAGCUGAAGAUAAGCAGAGAGGCUUUUGAGAGGAGUCUUGGCUACAGUGCCUUCUUCUCCCAGGCUGCUGGGUGCUAGUAACUCUAUGGAGCACAGCUGGGAGCACUUACUUAUCCAGGAAUUUGUAGCACGUCUCACCUGGCCAGAAAUGAGGGCCCAGCUCAGAAGCCUGAACAGCAACUACUCUGACCCAGUGCUAUGAAGCCGCAAGGCUUUACAGCACAGGUCUGGAUGUUGGCCCAGACAUCAGACUCCAUUGGCUCUUCCGAUAAAGGUCUCUCCCAGGAGUCAGGAGUGGCUGCCCUUGAGAAAGCUUCUUUUUUAAGAUGUCCAGCCCACAUCCCUGUUGAUUUGAGCAAGGACCUGGCUCACAAAAGAGGCAGAAACAAUGUAUCUUUGAAAAUUUCUUGAGAAAUGACUCCUUCCUAUUUGGCAUCAAUACAGGAGACCCAACAGCUGAAUUUUCACAAAAUCCUCAGAGACUGGAGGUGAUGGGCACACGUAAAGAGGGUUGGCUUCUCACAGCUCACACUCCUAACAAAUAGAACCAGACCUUCAAUAGAAAAGGCCAUCCAGCAGUGCAGAAUCACAGGCCAGAAACGCAGUGCUGUGUAAACAGGUAAUAAGAACCAUGGCUUCUGGUCUCCUGGUAAA
ensembl:lncRNA